ACGCUCGACACCUAGGAGGCAGCAGUGAGGAAUAUUGGUCAAUGGACGCAAGUCUGAACCAGCCAUGCCGCGUGCAGGAUGACGGCUCUAUGAGUUGUAAACUGCUUUUGUACGAGGGUAAACGCAGAUACGUGUAUCUGUCUGAAAGUAUCGUACGAAUAAGGAUCGGCUAACUCCGUGCUAGCAGCCGCGGUAAUCUGAGCGGGCUGGCAAGGC
rnacentral:rRNA from 1 species